GUUUUUAUAGUUUAAAAAAAAAUAUUGGUCUUGUAAACCAAAGUUAAGUUAAUUAUUUUAAAAACU
rnacentral:tRNA from 1 species